CGAAAAAAAAAUCAAUACUUUUACUCCAUUACAUUUACCUGAGCAUCCUCGUUACUCGUUACAAAAUAAGAAGGAACGUGAUAGCCAAUGGACAAUCUUCGUUUUGUUGUAGUGGGACUAGUAGCCAAUGAUGCUGGAGAUACAGACCGCAAGACGUUAUCAUUGGUUUACCCCGUUGUGCGGCGGAUGAAAUCAGCGGCCAGCGGGUACAUUUCAAAUUAAUGGUCGCAUUAUCAUGUCAGUAGUCUCAGACAAGUCGGGUCUCUAAUGUUAUUUGAAGAGAAGGAGGAAGACAGAGAAGCCUAAAAUGUCAGAGAUGGAGGUGACUGAAUCGGCGACUGAACCUGAACCUGCUGCUGAAACAACCAGCAUAGACGACAACGACGACGACGAUGACGAUGAACACCCGUGGCCAUACCUGCGGGGAAUGUUCAGCUACAUCGGAGUGAAAGAUUCCUCCUACCGGAUGAAAUGACUGCUGUGCCUUCCUAAAAACAGUGAGAUAUUGGCUUACAAAAACUCUCCAUCCAAUCUUAGGAAACACGUUGAGAGAAAACAUCCAAACCAACUUAAAAAAUAUGAAGAGCUGACAUCAGCAAAAAGAAAGAGGCCUGUAACUGAGACUCCCUCCACCAGCACCAACAGGCAGAUGACCACAUUUCUGACCACCACCUGUUCUGCUGUGUCCCAAAGGUCACUUGAUAAAGCUGUCUUGAAGCAUGUGGUCCAUGGACUCCAGCCCCUCUCUCUGGUUGAACAAGAACCAUUUAUAGAGUUUGUGAAGGAUCUGCUGCCUAAUGCCAGAGCAAAAAUUAUGACAAGAGUGACGCUGGGCUCCAGGAUGGACGAGGCCGCCAAGGAGAUGAAGACAGCGGUGACUGAGGCCAUGAGGGGAGUUGAGUAUAUCGCCAC